rnacentral:rRNA from 1 species
UAGUCGUAAAACAAGGUUUCCGUAGGUGAACCUGCGGAAGGAUCAUUAUUGAAUUAAACCCUGGUCGGGUUGUUGCUGGCCUCUAGGGGCAUGUGCACGCCUGCCAUCGUUUUCAACCACCUGUGCACCUUUUGUAGACUUUUGGAUAUCUUUCGGGGGGUCACACUCUCGGUUUCGAGGGCUGCCGCUUGGCUUCCCUCGCAUUUCCGGUCUAUGCAUUUCAUACACUCCGUAAAGAAUGUAUUAGAAUGUCUUGUUAUUGGCCUCAGUGCCUUUAAUCAAAUACAACUUUCAGCAACGGAUCUCUUGGCUCUCGCAUCGAUGAAGAACGCAGCGAAAUGCGAUAAGUAAUGUGAAUUGCAGAAUUCAGUGAAUCAUCGAAUCUUUGAACGCACCUUGCGCUCCUUGGUAUUCCGAGGAGCAUGCCUGUUUGAGUGUCAUUAAAUUCUCAACCUAACCAGCUUUUGUGAGCUGGGAUAGGCUUGGAUUGUGGGGGUUUUCUUUGCGGGCUUCAUCUCAGAGGUCGGCUCCCCUUAAAAGCAUUAGUGGAACCUUCUGUUGACCUGUUUCCUGGUGUGAUAAUUAUCUACAUCGUGUGCAGUCAGCUAUCUAACAGGUUUCUGCUUCCAACUUGUAUCACCCUUUUUACUUGGGGGGGAACGCUUUGACCAUUUGACCUCAAAUCAGGUAGGACUACCCGCUGAACUUAAGCAUAUCAAUAAGCGGAGGAAAAGAAACUAACAAGGAUUCCCCUAGUAACUGCGAGGAAAGGGGGAAAA